rnacentral:rRNA from 1 species
ACCUUACCUACUCUUGACAUCCAGAGAACUUUCCAGAGAUGGUUUGGUGCCUUCGGGAACUCUGAGACAGGUGCUGCAUGGCGGUCGUCAGCUCGUGUUGUGAAAUGUUGGGUUAAGUCCCGCAACGAGCGCAACCCUUAUCCUUUGUUGCCAGCGGUUAGGCCGGGAACUCAAAGGAGACUGCCAGUGAUAAACUGGAGGAAGGUGGGGAUGACGUCAAGUCAUCAUGGCCCUUACGAGUAGGGCUACACACGUGCUACAAUGGCGCAUACAAAGAGAAGCGACCUCGCGAGAGCAAGCGGACCUCAUAAAGUGCGUCGUAGUCCGGAUUGGAGUCUGCAACUCGACUCCAUGAAGUCGGAAUCGCUAGU